GACUACAAGCGUUUGAAACCUGGCGACAUCUGGAAGUCUGCACCUGACGUCAGGGUUCCCAACUUCUCACUGCGCGCUCAGUAGCUUAGAAGCUCGUGCGGCUCCAUACAGACAGAGCUGCAACUAUGUCUGACGAGGUUGACUGUUGCAUUACUACCUUGAAUAUAUGUGAUCUUUGCUGUGAUGGAUCUGUGGCUCUCUGUCUUGUCUGCGACUGCUGUUGUGAUGGUUCAUCCAGUAAAAACAAGGAAGAGAAAAAGAAAGAAGAAACUGUAGUGACGACUCAACCCACGCCAACCGCCAACACAGCCCAAGACGCAACCUGAAUUUUCGGGAACUACCAAAUACAGGUUUCUAAUGCUCAGACCAUAACAAUGAUAUUCGGUAGAAAUAUAAGAAGUCUAGGAAGUUAUUUGUAUUUUUGUGAAUAAAUAUAAUAUUCUAACCCUAAAUCCUAUGUGUAUGUUUUGUAGGAUGGUCAAUACCAUAUUAUUUGUUAUGUUGAUUAGAUGCUGAACGAAGAACUAGGGUUUGGUUUGUUAAUUGCAUACUGAAUUAAGGAUUAGUGUUUUAUAUAUUGAUUAGAUGUAAUUAUGUUAAGUUUUUAUUUUGUAAAUCUGAUUGCGCUGUUUAUGUAGCUGUCAAUAAUACUUUUUUUCCAUCCUUAGUUCUAUUCCACAGGACUGUUUUCCCCCAAACUUUUUUUUUCUGUUUCAUCUGUAUCUCGAAACUUCUUGAUCGACCGAAGUUCUGUCUCGUUUAAGCCUACCGAUCUUUUUCCUCUGUGAUGCCUCGGUUCAGUAUCUGAGAGUUAAAUUCCCCUCGUAAGAUCAACAUACGUUAAAGUUAUUGUUUUUUUUCUUCUUCUUCUUUUCCUUCCACUUUUUUAGGCUGGGACCAAUCCUCAGUAAAUUGUGUUUAUAUGUCUGAUCGCUUACCUAUGAAUUCUUUUAAUUUUAGUGAUGUUCUGUUUAUAUGUCAUGUUCUCAUUAUUAUAAAUAAACGUAUGAUACAAAA